GAUAAACGCUGGCGGCGUGCCUAAUACAUGCAAGUCGAUCGGAGAGUUUCAAGCUUGCUUGAGACUUUCAGAGGCGAACGGGUGAGUAAUACAUAAGCAACCUGCCCACGAAGACCGGGAUAACAUCUGGAAACGGGUACUAAAACCGGAUAGGUAAUAGAACCGCAUGGUUCGAUUAUUAAAGGAGAGAAACACUGGUGGAUGGGCUUAUGGCGCAUUAGUUAGUUGGUGAGGUAACGGCCCACCAAGACGAUGAUGCGUAGCCGGACUGAGAGGUUGAACGGCCACAUUGGGACUGAGAGACGGCCCAGACUCC
rnacentral:rRNA from 1 species